rnacentral:rRNA from 1 species
GAGUGAACGCUGGCGGUAGGCCUAACACAUGCAAGUCGAACGGCAGCACAGUAAGAGCUUGCUCUUACGGGUGGCGAGUGGCGGACGGGUGAGGUAUACAUCGGAAUCUACUUUUUCGUGGGGGAUAACGUAGGGAAACUUACGCUAAUACCGCAUACGACCUACGGGUGAAAGCAGGGGAUCUUCGGACCUUGCGCGAUUGAAUGAGCCGAUGUCGGAUUAGCUAGUUGGCGGGGUAAAGGCCCACCAAGGCGACGAUCCGUAGCUGGUCUGAGAGGAUGAUCAGCCACACUGGAACUGAGACACGGUCCAGACUCCUACGGGAGGCAGCAGUGGGGAAUAUUGGACAAUGGGCGCAAGCCUGAUCCAGCCAUACCGCGUGGGUGAAGAAGGCCUUCGGGUUGUAAAGCCCUUUUGUUGGGAAAGAAAAGCAGCAGGUUAAUACCCCGCUGUUCUGACGGUACCCAAAGAAUAAGCACCGGCUAACUUCGUG